GUUUCCGUGGUGUAGUGUUUAUCACGUCUGCCUUACUCGCAGAAGGUUCCCGGUUCGAUCCCGAGCGGAAACA